GGAGUGAUACCCAAGAGGCCGAAGGGGACGGUUUGCUAAACCGUUAGUGGGUUUAUACCCAGCGAGGGUUCGAAUCCCUCUCACUCCG
rnacentral:tRNA from 1 species